UAGUGAGUUUGAUCCUGGCUCAGAACGAACGCUGGCGGCAUGCUUAACACAUGCAAGUCGAACGAGACCUUCGGGUCUAGUGGCGCACGGGUGCGUAACGCGUGGGAAUCUGGCCCUUAGGUACGGAAUAACGUCAGAGAAAUUUGUGCUAAUACCGUAUGGAUGUCGAAAGACCAAAGAUUUAUCGCCUAAGGAUGAGCCCGCGUAAGAUUAGCUAGUUGGUAAGUAAAGCUUACCAAGGCGACGAUCCUUAGCUGGUCUGAGAGGAUGAUCAGCCACACUGGGACUGAGACACGGCCCAGACUCCGUAC
rnacentral:rRNA from 1 species